CCAUUCGCCACCCCGUCUUCCCCGCACUCGCCGCCGCCACCACCCUUCGUCCCGUGUGCUCUGCUUCCUCCCCCCUCCCGUCCCCUCGCUCUCGUGCAGCCGCCGCGGCGCUCCCACAUCUCCUCCCCUUCCUCUCGACCAGGCCGCGCUGGCGCUCGGGGCGCUCGCCGCCGUGCUCCCCGGCGACGACGACGCCCCGCAGCGGACGGCGCUUGGGAGGCCGACCUCCACGCAAGCCCUAGCACAGCUUAAGGCGAAGCUCCUGGCGCCGGGGCCCGGGCACGUGGGUGCCGCGGUGCUCGCGGAGCCGCUGCAGAUCCCAGCCGACCAGGCCGCGCUGGCGCUCAGGGCGCUCGCCGCCGUGCUCCCCGGCGGCGACGACGACCCCACAGCGGACGGCGCGUGGGAGGCCGACCUCCACGACGUGCUCCUCUUCCUCUACAUCCAGUCCUACAAGCGCCUUGUGCCAAGGCUUCGAUUCCAUCCAUUUGCUCCCGUGUAGCACGCUGGCUCGCCACGAUCUGCAAUGGCCUGAAGAAUGAGGCAAUCCUUGGAAGCAGCACGUACAUGUGAUCCCCCCUCUCACUCUGAUUCCAAGGUUAUGUUGCUGAUGGUAGGUGUCACUCUGGAUUGCAGAAAACAUGAUAAGAGCAUGGAGAUGGAUUGCUGCAUAUAUAUGCUACCCACACUACCAUUUUCUUGAUCAUAGCAUGGAUGGAUUGCUGCAAAUUCAUGUUGUUGUUGCGGGAUCAUGCCGGCCCUCCCUUGUGCUAGCCAGCCAUCAGGACCGACUGCGGUUGGUUCAUGCCGACGCGGCUGUGGCUCCCUGUGGUGCUCCUCUCAUGUUGCAUCUUCUUCCUCGCGGGCUUCUUUGGCUCCCUCCUCUUCACCCAGGAUACGCAGGGGGAGGAGGACAUGGAGCGGCCACUGCCAAGGGAACGGCUGCUCUAUUUACCCUUAUUGUCGGUUUCACUUGCCUAGCCUAGUUUGAAGAGUUUCCCGGGAGUGGCGAGGAGUACCGGCAUAUCGAGUCCCUGGUGUUUUCCUCUACGAGCUGGGGAGGGCGUGUGGUUCUCUCCUCGUCGGUCUCACUUCUCCCCUUCCUCCUCCAUGGAUUGGAACGAAAAGAAGAAACUACAGCGUCACAUAACUGCAGCAAAGAAGGUACUGCAUAAGAUGUAACAGGGUCGUAUUAUGGAAGCGAAGAACAGAAUCCCUGCUGUUCCACGGAGUGAGUACAGUUAAAGGUAAAAAAAAGGAAAAAGGAAGUCUGGAGCUCUCUCGGCUGUACAACAAAGAGGGGUUACUUCACGUACUCAUCAGCAGUGAGGCUAAUAUCAUCUCCAAUCAAGUGAAAAAGCAAGGGCGCAGCCUUAGUUUUCUGUUGGAAGACUUCUAUUUCUCUCAUUCCAGAGGUGCUAGCCUGUGCAAGCAGUGACAGUGUACUUUUUAUUGAUCUGAAUCUUCAGGCUUCAUUUUGAAAUUUUGGGCCACGAACACUUGAUCGCAAAAGUAACAGGUAUCAUGGUGAGGCCAGUUUCUGUUUUGCAUGUUGCCUUAUUUCUCUUCUAUCUGCAGUUUGCUUCCACGUUCUAUAUGUUUGCGAGGAAAUUUCAAAUCGUUUUGUAUGCUCAUCAAUUGGUGCAUCUAGAAUAUGUAUGUGAACCGUGUACCUUACGGAUUCCUUAAGGGCCUCAUGAUUGUUGGUGUUUUUUUUUCAUAUGAAAACACCAAGGUUAUUAUCCUAACUAUCAUAGUUUGUACCAGCAGGAUUAUCAUAACAAUUAUGCAAUUUUUUUCCAGGUGAUUACAUAGUUAAAGGUAGUGACUUUUUUAGUCCUAUGUGAUUUCUUAUCAACUGAGCUAUCAAAUUGUGCAUUAUGUACUUGGUCACAACGUUGUAACCGGCACCCUCGCGCCAAGGCGCGUUUCCGAUCUCAUUGGAUACUUUUGUACUUUAGUUAGAAGCAUAAUUGUCAGAAGCAAGCAUAAUGGCCAUAUGAUGAAGCCGAUAAGUGUUUAGUAGAGACUCCAAUCAAUUCGAUCUCUCCAUGAUCUUUACCGCAUAUGAUAUUUUCCUUCUGGGUAUUUAACUUUGUCAAGUGCAUGCUAUGGUUCAGAGCAAAAUUCAGUUUCCAGUUAUAAUUCAGUGAUUUUCUUGCCUUGUAUUUUAUUUUGCAUAAUUGUAGAAAUUGCGGUGGCCAUCCGCGGAUCUACAGUCCCUGGUUUGAUUUGUCGAGUGUCCUGGGCAAGAGGACCAAGUGUGGGCGGGUAGGUAUCGGCAAGGCGGGCUGUCAGCAUGGUGUUGGAGUUGGCCGGUAGUGGUGCACCUGCGCCAUGUAUGUAUCAAUACUCUAGGAGGUUCCAUUGAGGCCCAGUCUAUCCAGGUAGUUUGUUAUACUACUGACUUAGAUACACUUUAUUUAUCAAGAAUUUUUGUAUAUCAUAAUAUCAAAGGCAAAAGGGUCUGUCUAUGGAUGCACUUCUUAUGGUCAUGUACAUUUCAGAGCCACUGUUAUUCAUCAAGAACAUAAUUUAACUAAAGCUCGUUAAAAAAAUUGCCCAUAGAAAUAAUCACUUUGGAUUGGUAGUGUCAAAAGGAUGCAGAACAUUUGUAACAUUUCUUCCCAUAUUCAUGAGACUUUCACUCUGCUGUUGCAUUAGUCAAGUUUAAUUUCAUUA